GCAAUUCCGGUGUAUUCUAUGGCUUGCUUUAAGUUGCCAAGGGGUUUGUGUGACCAUAUCAAGUCCAUCAUUAGAAAGUUUUGGUGGGGCUGCAAACAGGGGGAAAGAAAACCUUCUUGGGUCUCUUGGGAUGUCAUGACACGCCCUAAGUACCUAGGAGGACUGGGUUUCAGAGAUUUGGAGCUAUUUAACUUGGCGCUUUUGGCAAGGCAAGCAUGGAGGAUCUUACAGGAACCAUCGUCAUUAAGUGCUAGAAUUCUCAAAGCAUCAUACUUUCCGGACACAUCUCUCCUAGAUGCUGAGUUGGGGUCGCGCCCUUCACAGAUUUGGCGAGCGAUCAUUGAGGGCCGGGAUGUGCUUAAGCAGGGCUUGAUAAGGCGAAUUGGCAAUGGUCAGACGACGGAUAUUUGGGCAGAUAAUUGGAUACCUAAAGAGACUACUCCAAGACCUAUAACCUCACUUGUGACAGAUCCUCCAAGGAAGGUCUCGGAGUUGCUCAUACCUUCGGCUGCCCAAUGGAAUGUGGGACUGAUCCGAUCCGUCUUCCUCAGGUUUGAUGCGGACGCAAUCCUUAAGAUCCUGGUUUGCACAAGAAACACGGAAGAUUUUUGGGCAUGGUGUCCUGAUCCAAAGGGGAGGUUCUCGGUUAGCUCGGCAUACAAGUUUCUGGUGAAAACAAAGAUACAGAGGGAGGAGUGGCUCGAUGGAAGAUCGGGGUCCUCAAGCAAUGGGAGAGAGGAAAAAUCUUGGACUUCACUCUGGAAUCUCUCGAUCCCUUCAAAGCUCAGGGUCUUCCUCUGGAGAUUAGCGCGUCAUUCUUUACCCACAACUGACGUGCUGCAUAACCGGAACAUGUCGAACCAAUCUACAUGUCCACUUUGUGGCAUGAGUGAUUCAUGGAGACACGCCCUACUCUCUUGCACCAUGUCCAGGUGUAUUUGGGCACUAUCUGAUGAAAGCCUUGUUGCGAAGAUGGCAGAAAAUAUGGAACCAAGCGCAAAAGGCUGGAUGUUUGACCUUUAUGACAGCCUAGAUCAUGUAAGUUUCACGAGAAUGGCAGUGACUCUUUGGACAAUUUGGUAUGCUAGACGCAAAGCUGUCUAUGAGGCAAUUUUUCAGACUCCGCAACAAACCAUCCUCUUUGUCAACAGGUUCCUUGAUGAACUGGAGCAACUAGCGACGGCUAAGGCAAGGCCGGCUACUUCGGCACCUAUGGCGGCCCAGCCUAGGCGCUGGCUGCCACCACCGUCGGGUGUGAUGAAGGUUAAUGUCGAUGGUGCAGUGGCACGGCACAAAAGGGGAGGUGCGGUCGCAGCUCUAUGCCGGGACUCCAAUGGCGUGUACUUGGGUUCGUCGGCAAUGGUAUUUUUUGGAAUCACCGACCCGGUCAUCUUGGAAACUUUCGCGUGCAGAGAAGCGCUGGCUCUUGCAGAUGACCUCUCCAUCCAGACCGUUUUGGUGGCCCUUGACUGCCAGGAGGUGGUGAAAGACAUAAAAUCAGGGACAGGAGGUCCUCAUGCGGCAAUCGUACAUGAAAUCAUAGAUCGUAGCAAUUUCUUUACUUCUUGCUCUUUUGUUCAUGAGCGUAGAAACUUUAAUUUUGAAGCACACAAU
rnacentral:rRNA from 1 species